UGUUUACAGCGCUUGAGUCACACGUCACGUACACCGACUGUUGUGUCGUUUUGGUGAGAGAGUAGCGGCUUCGGCUUGCGUUUACGAUGCUGAUGAGACUCGUGUAGUGUUCUCUCUCAUUUGCUCACCGUGACGUCGCCUGUGUAGGCACUACAAGAGUGUGUCAAAAUUAACAUUCAUGUGAAUGCAAGUUUGAUAUGUUGUGAUGAUGGAAAGUCAUACCUAGAAAAAUGUGAACUCAAUAGAACAAGAUGUGAAUCUACCGAGGUCAUACAAGUGAACCACAAGGGCCAGUGCAUAAAAACAGAGAUGACAAAGACAGUAGGAUCGAACCGCAUGGACGAGUGCGAUUCUAUCAUUUGUGGACUGGGUAUGAGGUGCAAAGCUUGCGGACACCAAGAACGGCUCGUGUGCAUUUGCUCGAAUCUUUGCCCACCUACAACUAGUGAAAUAUUUGUUCCCUUUCAAGGCUUGGCUGUCUGUUAAUAGUCCUUGCAUUAAUAGUCUUUUGCAGACUCUUGUCUCAACAUCCAGUUUGAAGAAGGACUACCAUGCAGGAACAUUGAGAGGUCAGUUACAUACGUUUUUCCUAGCAUAUAUCAUGUUGCUAAGUGUCUGUUAGAGAAUGAAGUGACACUGUCUCAUUGCAUUUGAGUUUUGUCAUGUCUCUAGUUUGUCUGUCUAUUAUGAGCCAUGUCAUUAUCUACAACAAAGACCCCUGUGUUGCUCAUGCAUGAGAGCUGUAUUAUCAGCAAUGAAUGAAACCAAUUCUAUGAAGUUGUGUGUGUGUGUGUGUGUGUGUGUGUGUGUGUGUGUGUGUGUGUGUGUGUGUGUGUGUGUGUGUGUGUGUGUUGCUAGACAACCCGUCCUCUUAGCCAGGAAUUUUUAUUAAAGGGGAAAAACUAAAAUUUUAGUGCCCAAUUUUUAGGCUAGUAACUUUAAUUAAUGGCAAAC